UUACGGCCAUAUCACGUUGAAACACCAGUUCCCGUAGUAUCACCGAAGUUAAGCAAUGUCGAACUUGGUUAGUACCUAGAUGGGUAAAUGCUUGGGAAUACCAAGUGUUGUAAU